rnacentral:rRNA from 1 species
UACGUAGGCAGCAAGCGUUGUUCGGAAUUACUGGGCGUAAAGAGUGUGUAGGCGGUGUUCUAAGUUUGGUGUGAAAUCUCCCGGCUCAACUGGGAGGGUGCGCCGAAAACUGGAAUGCUAGAGUAUGGGAGAGGUAAGCGGAAUUCCUGGUGUAGCGGUGAAAUGCGUAGAUAUCAGGAGGAACACCUGUGGUGUAGACAGCUUACUGGACCAUCACUGACGCUGAGACACGAAAGCGUGGGGAGCAAACAGG